rnacentral:rRNA from 1 species
GACGAACGCUGGCGGCGUGCUUAACACAUGCAAGUCGAACGAAGUGGCGAACGGGUGAGUAACGCGUAAUCAACCUGCCCUUCAGAGGGGGACAACAGUUGGAAACGACUGCUAAUACCGCAUACGGAAGGAGGGGAUUGCGUCGGAUUAGCUAGUUGGAGGGGUAACGGCCCACCAAGGCGAGGUUCAGUAGCCGGUCGUGGAGUAGGAACGGCCACAGUGUGACUGGGACACGGCCCAGUCUCCUACGGGAGGCAGCAGUGGGGAAUCUUCCGCAAUGGACGAAAGUCUGACGGAGCAACGCCGCGUGAGUGAUGACGGCCUUCGGGUUGUAAAGCUCUGUUAAUCGGGACGCGGUACCGGAAUAGAAAGCCACGGCUAACUACGUGCCAGCCGCCGCGGUAAUUC